ensembl:snRNA U7 U7 small nuclear RNA
GAGUGUUACAGCUCUUUUAGAAUUUGUCCAGCAGGUUUCUGGUUUUACCAGAAGGCUCCC